UACAUGGGGUGCAAACGUUGCUCGGAAUUACUGGGCGUAAAGCGUGCGCAGGCGGUUAUGCAAGACAGAUGUGAAAUCCCCGGGCUUAACCUGGGAACUGCAUUUGUGACUGCAUAGCUAGAGUACGGUAGAGGGGGAUGGAAUUCCGCGUGUAGCAGUGAAAUGCGUAGAUAUGCGGAGGAACACCGAUGGCGAAGGCAGUCCCCUGGACCUGUACUGACGCUCAUGCACGAAAGCGUGGGGAGCAAACAGG
rnacentral:rRNA from 1 species